GAUGAACGCUGGCGGCGUGCCUAAUACAUGCAAGUCGAGCGAACAGAUAAGGAGCUUGCUCCUUUGACGUUAGCGGCGGACGGGUGAGUAACACGUGGGUAACCUACCUAUAAGACUGGGAUAACUUCGGGAAACCGGAGCUAAUACCGGAUAAUAUUUCGAACCGCAUGGUUCGAUAGUGAAAGAUGGUUUUGCUAUCACUUAUAGAUGGACCCGCGCCGUAUUAGCUAGUUGGUAAGGUAACGGCUUACCAAGGCGACGAUACGUAGCCGACCUGAGAGGGUGAUCGGCCACACUGGAACUGAGACACGGUCCAGACUCCUACGGGAGGCAGCAGUAGGGAAUCUUCCGCAAUGGGCGAAAGCCUGACGGAGCAACGCCGCGUGAGUGAUGAAGGUCUUCGGAUCGUAAAACUCUGUUAUUAGGGAAGAACAUACGUGUAAGUAACUGUGCACGUCUUGACGGUACCUAAUCAGAAAGCCACGGCUAACUACGUGCCAGCAGCCGCGGUAAUACGUAGGUGGCAAGCGUUAUCCGGAAUUAUUGGGCGUAAAGCGCGCGUAGGCGGUUUUUUAAGUCUGAUGUGAAAGCCCACGGCUCAACCGUGGAGGGUCAUUGGAAACUGGAAAACUUGAGUGCAGAAGAGGAAAGUGGAAUUCCAUGUGUAGCGGUGAAAUGCGCAGAGAUAUGGAGGAACACCAGUGGCGAAGGCGACUUUCUGGUCUGUAACUGACGCUGAUGUGCGAAAGCGUGGGGAUCAAACAGGAUUAGAUACCCUGGUAGUCCACGCCGUAAACGAUGAGUGCUAAGUGUUAGGGGGUUUCCGCCCCUUAGUGCUGCAGCUAACGCAUUAAGCACUCCGCCUGGGGAGUACGACCGCAAGGUUGAAACUCAAAGGAAUUGACGGGGACCCGCACAAGCGGUGGAGCAUGUGGUUUAAUUCGAAGCAACGCGAAGAACCUUACCAAAUCUUGACAUCCUUUGACAACUCUAGAGAUAGAGCUUUCCCCUUCGGGGGACAAAGUGACAGGUGGUGCAUGGUUGUCGUCAGCUCGUGUCGUGAGAUGUUGGGUUAAGUCCCGCAACGAGCGCAACCCUUAAGCUUAGUUGCCAUCAUUAAGUUGGGCACUCUAAGUUGACUGCCGGUGACAAACCGGAGGAAGGUGGGGAUGACGUCAAAUCAUCAUGCCCCUUAUGAUUUGGGCUACACACGUGCUACAAUGGACAAUACAAAGGGCAGCGAAACCGCGAGGUCAAGCAAAUCCCAUAAAGUUGUUCUCAGUUCGGAUUGUAGUCUGCAACUCGACUACAUGAAGCUGGAAUCGCUAGUAGUCGUAGAUCAGCAUGCUACGGUGAAUACGUUCCCGGGUCU
rnacentral:rRNA from 1 species